GAUGAACGCUAGCUACAGGCUUAACACAUGCAAGUCGCGGGGCAGCAUGGGGGUUGCUUGCAAUCCCCGAUGGCGACCGGCGCACGGGUGAGUAACGCGUAUCCAACCUGCCCUUCACCACGGGAUAACCCGGCGAAAGUCGGACUAAUACCGUAUGUUGUCCAUUGACGGCAUCCGAUUUGGACGAAAGGUUUGGCGGUGAAGGAUGGGGAUGCGUCCGAUUAGCUGGACGGCGGGGUGACGGCCCACCGUGGCGACGAUCGGUAGGGGUUCUGAGAGGAAGGUCCCCCACACUGGAACUGAGACACGGUCCAGACUCCUACGGGAGGCAGCAGUGAGGAAUAUUGGUCAAUGGGCGUAAGCCUGAACCAGCCAAGUAGCGUGCAGGAUGACGGCCCUAUGGGCUGUAAACUGCUUUUAUGCGGGGAUAAAGUGGCCCACGUGUGGGUUUUUGCAGGUACCGCAUGAAUAAGGACCGGCUAAUUCCGUG
rnacentral:rRNA from 1 species